rnacentral:tRNA from 1 species
UGAAGAAAUGACUGAGUGGUUUAAAGUGGCAGAUUGUAAAUCUGUUGGGUUUUCCCAUCGUAGGUUCGAAUCCUACUUUCUUCAA